ACGAACGCUGGCGGCGUGCUUAACACAUGCAAGUCGAACGAGAAUCACUGGAAGGAGUUUUCGGACAACGGAAGGUGAGGACAGUGGCGGACGGGUGAGUAACGCGUGAGGAACCUGCCUUUCAGAGGGGGACAACAGUUGGAAACGACUGCUAAUACCGCAUGACACAUAGAGAUCGCAUGGUUUUUAUGUCAAAGAUUUAUCGCUGAAAGAUGGCCUCGCGUCUGAUUAGCUAGUUGGUGAGGUAACGGCCCACCAAGGCGACGAUCAGUAGCCGGACUGAGAGGUUGACCGGCCACAUUGGGACUGAGAUACGGCCCAGACUCCUACGGGAGGCAGCAGUGGGGAAUAUUGGGCAAUGGGCGCAAGCCUGACCCAGCAACGCCGCGUGAAGGAAGAAGGCUUUCGGGUUGUAAACUUCUUUUGUCGGGGACGAGUAGAAGACGGUACCUGGCGAAUAAGCCACGGCUAACUACGUGCCAGCAGCCGCGGUAAUACGUAGGUGGCAAGCGUUGUCCGGAUUUACUGGGUGUAAAGGGCGUGUAGCCGGGAAGGCAAGUCAGAUGUGAAAUCCACGGGCUUAACUCGUGAACUGCAUUUGAAACUACUUUUCUUGAGUAUCGGAGAGGCAAUCGGAAUUCCUAGUGUAGCGGUGAAAUGCGUAGAUAUUAGGAGGAACACCAGUGGCGAAGGCGGAUUGCUGGACGACAACUGACGGUGAGGCGCGAAAGCGUGGGG
rnacentral:rRNA from 1 species